UUCAUGUCUAUUUAUAGCUCUGACUCUUUUUAUCUAUUCCUCUAUCCAUUUAUUUACCUCUUCUAGAAUAAUGGUUCCUGUGCUAAGCACCAUAGUUCAUGAAGGACAUAGUUGAGGGUGCCUAGAGGAGGGAAACCAGGAUGAUAAAGGGCCUAGAGUCCAUGUUACUUGAAGAUCAUUUGAAGGAACUGGAACUGUUUAAGCUGGAGAAGAAAUAAUUUAUCCAGGAGGACCAUAAUAGUUCCCUUCCAGCAUUUGAAAGGCUGUCAUAUGAAGGUACACUUCUGGAAUUUUAAUUUGGUGAACAUUGGACAUAAGGAACUUGGAUUUGUUGUCAUUUUGUGAUUCAAAUAUCUAUAUUAUAUAGAUAUAAAUCUUGAUUGUAAUGCAUUAUUUAACUGGAAAAACUGAUGUAAGGAAGAAGAUAAGACAACCUCAGUAAAUCUGAACUGAGUUUAGCCUCUACUAUAUGCCACCUAUAAAAUAAUUUUUUCUCAUCUCUGCCAUGUUUGCUAUUGCGGCCUCAAACAUUAUGCAGCCAGUGGUGUAUCACAUAGAUUUCUUCUUUGCCUUUUAAGGAGGUCUAUAAGAGUAUAUCCUAACAUGGUCACUCAAAGCUGACUUACAGAAUAACUACUUUAGUCUUAAGUAGGCACAUCAGAUUUUUCAUCCAUGCAUGUCUCUUAUAUGGCACUCCAGUUAUAAGUAGCAUUCAAUAAAGAGAUACAAAUAGCUUUCUCUGUGGUCGAG
rnacentral:lncRNA from 1 species